rnacentral:misc_RNA from 2 species
CUCUCUCAAAUCUUCGGAUUUGGUUUUGAGUGAUACUCUUAGUCAGACUAAGCGUUUGCUUGAAAUGUAUUGGCAUGAGUGGUACUAGAUAGUGCUGAACUGUUUUCAAUGUAUUAGGUUUAUCCAACUCAUUGACCAGUAAAGUAUUUGUUUAUUACACAGGCUCGGCCUUACAACAACAAACAAA